rnacentral:rRNA from 1 species
GACGAACGCUGGCGGCGUGCUUAACACAUGCGAGUCGAACGGAAAGGCCCUGCUUUUGUGGGGUGCUCGAGUGGCGAACGGGUGAGUAACACGUGAGUAACCUGCCCUUGACUUUGGGAUAACUUCGGGAAACUGGGGCUAAUACCGGAUAGGAGCUCCUGCUGCAUGGUGGGGGUUGGAAAGUUUCGGCGGUUGGGGAUGGACUCGCGGCUUAUCAGCUUGUUGGUGGGGUAGUGGCUUACCAAGGCUUUGACGGGUAGCCGGCCUGAGAGGGUGACCGGACACAUUGGGACUGAGAUACGGCCCAGACGCCUACGGGAGGCAGCAGUGGGGAAUAUUGCACAAUGGGCGGAAGCCUGAUGCAGCAACGCCGCGUGCGGGAUGACGGCCUUCGGGUUGUAAACCGCUUUCGCCUGUGACGAAGCGUGAGUGACGGUAAUGGGUAAAGAAGCACCGGCUAACUACGUG